CCUACGGGUGGCUGCAGCUAAGAAUAUUCCGCAAUGGACGAAAGUCUGACGGAGCGACGCCGCGUGGAUGACGAAGGCCGAAAGGUUGUAAAAUCCUUUUGUUGGGGAAGAAUAACCAUGGGAGGGAAUGCCCGUGGGAUGACAUGAACCGACGAAUAAGUCCCGGCUAACUACGUGCCAGCAGCCGCGGUAACACGUAGGGGACAAGCGUUAUUCGGAAUUACUGGGGGUGAAGGGCUAGUAGGCGGGCGAAAGGCACCGGCUCAACCGGUGGAUUGCGUCGGGAACUGCAGGGCUUGAGUCAUGGAGAGGAAGGCAGAAUUCCUGGUGUAGGGGUGAAAUCUGUAGAGAUCAGGAAGAAUACCAGUGGCGAAGGCGGCCUUCUGGCCAAUGACUGACGCUGAGGUGCGAAAGUGUGGGGAUCAAACAGGAUUAGAUACCCCAGUAGUC
rnacentral:rRNA from 1 species